GUAUUAAGUUGAGAACAUUUGGCAUCGUUGCAAUACGGUUUUAACAUGAAGACGCUGGUGUUUCUACUAUUAGUACUCUCCUGCCUGAUGGGAAUGGUAGUCUCUGAAAUAAAACCUGAUGCAGCUUGGUUAAAAAAGAAUGAAGAUCUUGUGAAAUGGUGCCAUCUACAAGAGGGAUCCUUGUGGGACCGCGAAAAAUGUGUAUAUAAUGGUAUAACAUAAAGGCAUUAGAUAACACUUAUGUUGAAUUUAACUAAUUCCUGAAGAAUUCGAUCAUCAUUUGGUCAAAAGAUCAAUAUACAUAGAUAUAAAUGAUUUUGGUUCUACUGAUUAAAUAAUUAGAGUGUUCUUUGGAGUGGCAUCUCGA